rnacentral:rRNA from 1 species
GAUGAACGCUGGCGGCGUGCCUAAUACAUGCAAGUCGAGCGAACAGACGAGGAGCUUGCUCCUCUGACGUUAGCGGCGGACGGGUGAGUAACACGUGGAUAACCUACCUAUAAGACUGGGAUAACUUCGGGAAACCGGAGCUAAUACCGGAUAAUAUAUUGAACCGCAUGGUUCAAUAGUGAAAGACGGUUUUGCUGUCACUUAUAGAUGGAUCCGCGCCGCAUUAGCUAGUUGGUAAGGUAACGGCUUACCAAGGCAACGAUGCGUAGCCGACCUGAGAGGGUGAUCGGCCACACUGGAACUGAGCCACGGUCCAGACUCCUACGGGAGGCAGCAGUAGGGAAUCUUCCGCGAUGGGCGAAAGCCUGACGGAGCAACGCCGCGUGAGUGAUGAAGGUCUUCUGAUCGUAAAACUCUGUUAUUAGGGAAGAACAAAUGUGUAAGUAACUAUGCACGUCUUGACGGUACCUAAUCAGAAAGCCACGGCUAACUACGUG